rnacentral:rRNA from 1 species
GAUGAACGCUGGCGGCGUGCCUAAUACAUGCAAGUCGAGCGAACAGAUGAGGAGCUUGCUCCUCUGACGUUAGCGGCGGACGGGUGAGUAACACGUGGAUAACCUACCUAUAAGACUGGGAUAACUUCGGGAAACCGGAGCUCAUACCGGAUAAUAUAUUGAACCGCAUGGUUCAAUAGUGAAAGACGGUUUUGCUGUCACUUAUAGAUGGAUCCGCGCCGCGUUAGCUAGUUGGUAAGGUAACGGCUUACCAAGGCAACGAUGCGUAGCCGACCUGAGAGGUAGAUCGGCUGCGAUGGAGCUGAGACACGGUCCAACCGCGAACGGGAGGCAGCUGUAGCGAGUCGUCCGAAAUGGGCGAAUGGCUGAAGGAGCGACGGCGUGUGAGUGAUGAAGGUCUUGGGAGAGUAAAACUCUGUUAUUAGAGAAGAACAAAUGUGUAAGUAACGAUGCUGGUCUGGAGGGAACGUAAGAAGAAACCCCCGGCUAAUUACGG